rnacentral:rRNA from 1 species
UGGGGAAUUUUGGACAAUGGGCGAAAGCCUGAUCCAGCAAUGCCGCGUGUGUGAAGAAGGCCUUCGGGUUGUAAAGCACUUUUGUCCGGAAAGAAAUCCUCUGGGUUAAUACCUCGGGGGGAUGACGGUACCGGAAGAAUAAGCACCGGCUAACUACGUGCCAGCAGCCGCGGUAAUACGUAGGGUGCAAGCGUUAAUCGGAAUUACUGGGCGUAAAGCGUGCGCAGGCGGUUUUGUAAGACGGAUGUGAAAUCCCCGGGCUUAACCUGGGAACUGCAUUCGUGACUGCAAGGCUAGAGUAUGGCAGAGGGGGGUAGAAUUCCACGUAUAGCAGUGAAAUGCGUAGAGAUGUGGAGGAAUACCGAUGGCGAAGGCAGCCCCCUGGGCCAAUACUGACGCUCAUGCACGAAAGCGUGGGGAGCAAACAGGAUUAGAUACCCUGGUAGUCCACGCCCUAAACGAUGUCAACUAGUUGUUGGGGAUUCAUUUCCUUAGUAACGUAGCUAACGCGUGAAGUUGACCGCCUGGGGAGUACGGUCGCAAGAUUAAAACUCAAAGGAAUUGACGGGGUCAUAGCUGUUUCC